CCUACGGGAGGCAGCAGUAGGGAAUCUUCCACAAUGGGCGAAAGCCUGAUGGAGCAACGCCGCGUGGGUGAAGAAGGUCUUCGGAUCGUAAAACCCUGUUGUUAGAGAAGAAAGUGCGUGAGAGUAACUGUUCACGUUUCGACGGUAUCUAACCAGAAAGCCACGGCUAACUACGUGCCAGCAGCCGCGGUAAUACGGAGGUGGCAAGCGUUAUCCGGAUUUAUUGGGCGUAAAGGGAACGCAGGCGGUCUUUUAAGUCUGAUGUGAAAGCCUUCGGCUUAACCGGAGUAGUGCAUUGGAAACUGGGAGACUGGAGUGCAGAAGAGGAGAGUGGAACUCCAUGUGUAGCGGUGAAAUGCGGAGAUAUAUGGAAGAACACCAGUGGCGAAAGCGGCUCUCUGGUCUGUAACUGACGCUGAGGUUCGAAAGCGUGGGUAGCAAACAGGAUUAGAUACCCCUGUAGUC
rnacentral:rRNA from 1 species